rnacentral:rRNA from 1 species
CCUACGGGAGGCAGCAGUGGGGAAUAUUGCACAAUGGUGGCAACCCUGAUGCAGCGACGCCGCGUGAGUGAAGAAGUAUUUCGGUAUGUAAAGCUCUAUCAGCAGGGAAGAAAAAAGACGGUACCUGACUAAGAAGCCCCGGCUAACUACGUGCCAGCAGCCGCGGGAAUACGUAGGGGGCAAGCGUUAUCCGGAUUUACUGGGUGUAAAGGGAGCGUAGACGGUGCGUCAAGUCUGAAGUGAAAGCCCGAGGCUUAACCCCGGGACUGCUUUGGAAACUGGCGCGCUAGAGUGCUGGAGAGGUAAGUGGAAUUCCUAGUGUAGCGGUGAAAUGCGUAGAUAUUAGGAGGAACACCAGUGGCGAAGGCGGCUUACUGGACAGUAACUGACGUUGAGGCUCGAAAGCGUGGGGAGCAAACAGGAUUAGAUACCCCUGUAGUC